GUGUUUGCUUUGGCAGCAUAUACACUAAAAUUGGAACAAUACAGAGAAUAUUAGCCUGCACAAGAAUGAUUUGUAAAUUUGUGAAGCAUUCCAUAUUUUA
rnacentral:snRNA from 1 species